rnacentral:rRNA from 1 species
UACGUAGGGUGCAAGCGUUGUCCGGAAUUAUUGGGCGUAAAGAGCUUGUAGGCGGUUUGUCGCGUCUGCUGUGAAAUUUCGGGGCUCAACCCCGAACUUGCAGUGGGUACGGGCAGACUAGAGUGUGGUAGGGGAGAUCGGAAUUCCUGGUGUAGCGGUGAAAUGCGCAGAUAUCAGGAGGAACACCGGUGGCGAAGGCGGAUCUCUGGGCCAUUACUGACGCUGAGGAGCGAAAGCGUGGGGGAGC